GACGUAGGGCGCGAGCGUUGUCCGGAAUCAUUGGGCGUAAAGCGCGCGCAGGCGGCUCUUUAAGUCUGGUGUUUAAUCCCGAGGCUCAACUUCGGGUCGCACUGGAAACUGGGGAGCUUGAGUACAGAAGGGGCAACUGGAAUUCUCGGUGUAGCGGUGAAAUGCGUAGAUAUCGAGAGGAACACCUGCGGCGAAGGCGGGUUGCUGGGCUGAUGACUGACGCUGAGGCGCGAAAGCUAGGGUAGCAAACGGG
rnacentral:rRNA from 1 species